CAAGUUUUGAGAGGUUUUCGUUUCGACAGGAGGAAGUUUGGUUUGCAAUACUGUUACACUUUGAGAUUAAGCAGCAACUAGUGUUUGCUCGAAAUGGAUAUAAUUAGGGUUAUCAUAUUUAGCAAAUAAAAAUGCAGGACGGCCAAUACAUUUGAAUUUCAGAUAAGUAAUGAGUCAGUUUUUCACACAAGUGUGAUCCAAAUGUUGCAUGGGAUACACUCUAGCAAAAAAUCGGUGCCUUGUUGAUUUGACGUUCAGAUUUACUUGGGUGUCCUGUGUUUUAGGUGGUGACCAUCGUAUAACUAACUUUAAAGGAGCCAGCGGUACCAGGGCAGAGACAGCAGGGCUGAGAAGAUACUCUGUUGUGGGAGCCUGGAUUUACACCGCAGUCUUAGACUUCUCCUUGAAGAAGUUCCAUGGGUGAUCUCUGCCUCGGGCCUGGGAAGCUGAGGACUCAGGGGCUGGGUAGCAGGGUGGCAUCUGGGGUGGGUGAGGAAUGAGGCUUUUUCCUGGAACAGUCACUGGCAUCUCCUCCCCAGUCUCCUCGGAGCUGGUGAACUGGAAGAAAUUGACCAGCCUUUCGCUCUUCCCAGAGCAGGGCCCGGCACUGGGGGCCUUUCAGCAACCCCAACGACAAAGCUUCUACACUUCAGUGGUGGGGGAAGUGCCAGUUACUAAGGCGGAUCUCCGGUUACACUAAUGUAUACAGUCAGAUCAUGUCGAAGUACGAGCCGGGCCUGGGGAGCUGGCUUCUGCCCCUUGUUCACAGUGGUGAGACUGAAGCACGGACAGAGAACAGGAGAGCUGCCCCAGGAGCCAGGAGGGGCCCAGUUCCUAACCAGUCCAGGGCAUUCUCCUUCUGCGAUGCUGUCCACCUCUGCCCUGGGCGAUCACUUUCCUCACUUGGCUUAUUCUUAGGAGCCCGGAUAGCGUCCAGGUUCAGCUUUCUCCAGAGGCGAAACGCUAUAAAAAGUCUCUUUGAAGAGCCUCAGUUCAGUAAAGACGGUCAUUAAGAACUGUACACUGGAAAUAAAAGGGAUAAAGUGGA